rnacentral:rRNA from 1 species
UACGUAGGGUGCGAGCGUUGUCCGGAAUUAUUGGGCGUAAAGAGCUUGUAGGUGGCUCGUUGCGUCGGGAGUGAAAACCUGCGGCUUAACCGCAGGCCUGCUUCCGAUACGGGCGAGCUAGAGUUCGGCAGGGGAGACUGGAAUUCCUGGUGUAGCGGUGGAAUGCGCAGAUAUCAGGAGGAACACCGGUGGCGAAGGCGGGUCUCUGGGCCGGUACUGACGCUGAGGAGCGAAAGCAUGGGGAGCGAACAGG